GCGGCAAGCCUAACACAUGCAAGUCGUGCGGCAACAGAAAAAACUUAUGUUUUUUGCUGGCGAGCGGCGGACGGGUGAGUAAUGUAUGGGGAUCUGCCCAGAGGAGGGGGAUAACUAUUGGAAACGAUAGCUAAUACCGCAUAAAUUCUCUUUUGAGCAAAGCAUGGGAUAAGUUUUUAUUAAAACUUACCAUGUGCCUUUGGAUGAACUCAUAUGAGAUUAGCUAGUAGGUGAGGUAAAGGCUACACCUAGGCUACGAUCUCUAGCUGGUCUGAGAGGAUGACCAGCCACACUGGGACUGAGACACGGCCCAGACUCCUACGGGAGGCAGCAGUGGGGAAUAUUGCACAAUGGGCGAAAGCCUGAUGCAGCCAUGCCGCGUGUAUGAAGAAGGCCUUCGGGUUGUAAAGUACUUUCAGUCGGGAGGAAGGUAAUAGAGGCAAAUAGCUUUUUUUAUUUGACGUUACCGACAGAAGAAGCACCGGCUAACUCCGUGCCAGCAGCCGCGGUAAUACGGAGGGUGCGAGUGUUAAUCGGAAUUACUGGGCGUAAAGGGCACGCAGGCGGUUAAUUAAGUUGGAUGUGAAAUCCCUUGGCUCAACCUAGGAACUGCAUUCAAAACUGAAUAACUAGAGUCUCGUAGAGGGGGGUAGAAUUCCAUGUGUAGCGGUGAAAUGCGUAGAGAUAUGGAGGAAUACCAGUGGCGAAGGCGGCCCCCUGGGCGAAGACUGACGCUCAUGUGCGAAAGCAUGGGGAGCAAACAGGAUUAGAUACCCUGGUAGUCCAUGCCGUAAACAAUGUCAAUUUGGAGGUUGUAGUCUUAGAACUGUAGCUUCCGUAGCUAACGCGUUAAAUUGACCGCCUGGGGAGUACGACCGCAAGGUUAAAACUCAAAUGAAUUGACGGGGGCCCGCACAAGCGGUGGAGCAUGUGGUUUAAUUCGAUGCAACGCGAAGAACCUUACCUACUCUUGACAUCCAUAGAAGUUUAUUGAGAAAUAAACGUGCCUUAGGGAACUAUGAGACAGGUGCUGCAUGGCUGUCGUCAGCUCGUGUUGAGAAAUGUUGGGUUAAG
rnacentral:rRNA from 1 species